AUUGAACGCUGGCGGCAGGCCUAACACAUGCAAGUCGAGCGAGUGGCGGACGGGUGAGUAAUGUCUGGGGAACUGCCUGAUGGAGGGGGAUAACUACUGGAAACGGUGGCUAAUACCGCAUACCAUCGGAUGUACCCAGAUGGGAUUAGCUAGUGGGUGGGGUAAAGGCUCACCCAGGCGACGAUCCCUAGCUGGUCUGAGAGGAUGCACAGCCACACUGGAACUUAGACACGGGCCAGACUCCUACGUGAGGCAGCAGUGGGGAAUAUUGCACAAUGGGCGCAAGCCUGAUGCAGCCAUGCCGCGUGUAUGAAGAAGGCCUUAGGGUUGUAAAGUACUUUCAGCGGGGAGGCGUUACCCGCAGAAGAAGCACCGGCUAACUCCGUGCCAGCAGCCGCGGUAAUAC
rnacentral:rRNA from 1 species